GACUAUAUUUUCCAGCUGAAUUAUACAAUUUAAAAACAAUAAUAAUAAUUUGUUUAGGAACAGUACAUAGUUGCAAACAUAGUUGCAGCGUUACAGGACAAUCAUUCUGUUAGAUUUAAAGAUAAGAGGUAGUACAUACAAUAACUAAAGCCACUAGUACGCAUAGCAUUUCGGGCAAAAAAACGAAAGUAAUCAACGUUGAUGAAGUUAAUAAAGAGUUUGGUGAAGAUAAAUCCCCUCUGGAGAGCAAUAAUCGCCAUUUAACCACCCAACUAGCUAGUUUAAAUAGCUUCCAGCAAUUCAGAUCUGGCGAGCGAGGAGUGAGGUGAGACCCAGAGGGGCUCAGUCUACCGGCGACCGUCGGCCGGGGAGGAGGUCCUGUGUCUCGUCGGCCGGCGAUGUAUUUUUAUUUUUUACGUUUUUAUCAUUAUUACUGUGGUUUAGAGCACACAAGGUGUUGGAGAACGUUGACCAGAUUCACUGAAGAUGCAGUACGGAGUUAGCUGAAGAAAUGAGGGUUACCGAUUGCCAGAUGGUUUCAUCAGCCUUCUCACAAUUACAGUACAGUUUAGGGUGGUUAUAUUGGCGCCUGAAUCCAUGUGUAACAACGUUAAUCACUACAGCCGAGCAGUUGCAAAAUCUGGAUAGAGCACAAGAAUGAUCCAAUAUGUGUACAACAAAGUUUUAAGAUACUCGUAUUCUGUGACAAAAUCUCGCUCAAUCAACAGAUUACAGAACCAACUAGGAAUGAAACACUAGACUUUUCUGAUUAGUUCAUCAUUGUGAACAUUACAAUCUCGGAUACUACAUACUCAGACCAUAAGCUCAUUGAAGUGCGUUCUAAGAGACCCAAGAAGCGAGAAGGGGUAUUCAAUCAAUUCAUUUUCAACAAUAAGAGGAUCGUGUGGGAUAAAAUAAAUGUAGACCUUGCAAACAU